CCUACGGGAGGCAGCAGUGGGGAAUAUUGCACAAUGGGGGAAACCCUGAUGCAGCGACGCCGCGUGAAGGAAGAAGUCUUUCGGUAUGUAAACUUCUAUCAGCAGGGAAGAAAAUGACGGUACCUGACUAAGAAGCCCCGGCUAACUACGUGCCAGCAGCCGCGGGCAUACGUAGGGGGCAAGCGUUAUCCGGAUUUACUGGGUGUAACGGGAGCGGAGGCGGUGAUGCAAGUCAGAAGUGAAAGCCCGCAGCUCAACUGCGGGACUGCUUUUGAUACUGUAUGACUAGAUUGCAGGAGAGGUAAGUAGAAUUCCUAGUGUAGCGGUGAAAUGCGUAGAUAUUAGGAGGAACACCAGUGGCGAAGGCGGCUUACUGGACUGUAAAUGACGCUGAGGCUCGAAAGCGUGGGGAGCAAACAGGAUUAGAUACCCCAGUAGUC
rnacentral:rRNA from 1 species